GCUUUACCCUGGACGGCGCCCCCCGCCGGUGGUCUUCUAAACUCUGUUUUAUUGUGUCACUUCUGAGGAUUAUUAUAAAAUCAGUUAAAACUUUCAACAACGGAUCUCUUGGUUCUGGCAUCGAUGAAGAACGCAGCGAAAUGCGAUAAGUAAUGUGAAUUGCAGAAUUCAGUGAAUCAUCGAAUCUUUGAACGCACAUUGCGCCCAUUAGUAUUCUAGUGGGCAUGCCUGUUCGAGCGUCAUUUCAACCCAUCAAGCCCUAUUUUUGCUUGGCGUUGGGAGAACGCGGGGCCCUGGAGCCCCGCGCCUCCUCAAAUCCAUCGGCGGAGUCGUAGCGACCCAAGCGUAGUAAUUUUUCUCGCUUCAGGUGUUUUGCUGCAGGCGUUUAGCCGUUAAACCCCUUAUUCUUUUUAGGUUUGACCUCGGAUCAGGUAGGAA
rnacentral:rRNA from 1 species